UCCAGGAAUCUCAUCAGAACCAUCAACUGGAAAAUGUUGGAAAGCUGUGACAAUCUGGAAAGUGUUUGUGACAUCUGUUAAACAUGCUUGUUUUUAUUCCUGCUGACUGCAGUGGGAGGCAAGUGGUAUUUCGUGGAAGUGGAGUGGUGGUGUUCCAAAGGGGGAGCCAAAAGUCUUCCUCAAGGAUCCAUGGUGUCAUUCAGCCCUGAAGAACAAUGGGAAGGAAAAGCUCCAAGAUUUAUACUCCUCUGCUCAGAGAGAUGCGGGCACAUCCAAGAUCAUGAGAAAAAGGCAUUUGAAACUCGAACCAAAAAAACCUUUUCCUUCUGCCUCCCCCCAUCAAAACAUGAUGAUGAGACUGUUGCAUAUUCAGCAACAUGUUGUUCUCACCCUAGUUAAGUUGCAUCAUUUGAUGGGGCUUAGAUGAGGUGAGAGCUAAACUUGAGUGACCCUGCAGGCUGGUGCAGAGGUGAAUUGUGAGGUAACCCAUAGAGCUUCCCCAGCUUUCGGGGCUUCAGGAGAACAGCUGAAGGAUGCUGAGGCCCAAAGGAAGAUGAAUUUACCUUUAAGGUUGGAUUUAUUUUUUGAAGAUUGACCAAGCAUCCAUUAGGAUGGCAAGACCUACGUGGCCAGCUUACGUGGUUGCCCUUUCUACAUUAAAAGCAAUCAUUUUCAUCAGCUCUGCUCUCUGUGACCUCUGUUCACUACUGGAGUGUCCUCCAUACUUGAAGGAAGAGCCUAAUGCAGAAGAUGCCUCCAGGCACAAGGAGCCCAAUGUUUCCUCAAGAAAUGAAAUAAUUUAUUACAGCCCUACAAGUAACAACUCCAUCAGCAAGAAACAAGACUUAACUUUCUUCUGGUUUUGUGCAGCCUGCCCCAGAGAGAGACAACAGCAUAGCAUGAAAGAUGGCAGUGCUAAAGCAGAAUUUGAGUUCCCACCUGCUAACAAAGAGCCCUUGCCAGCUCUUGGACUCUGCCAUCUUUGUCCAGGAGUUUCAAAUGCCAGCCAGCUUGGCCAAAGCAGCAGCUAGGUUUGGACUAUGGAAUACAGAAACAUCUACUGCUCCUCUGCAGCUCAUUAGUCUAGGGCAGGGAGCAAAGGUGUCCAACCUCAUCUGGGUCAGUGAAUUUACUGCCUGUGAGUAGAAUCAUAGAACAGUUUUGGUUGGAAAAGACCUUUAAGAUCAUGGAGUCCCAAGUGUUAACACUGUCAAGGCCGUCACUAAACCAUGUCUGUAAGAACCACAUCUGCACAGCACUGAAAUCCCUCCAGAGAUGGUGACUCCACCACUGCCCAGGGCAGCCUGUGCCAGAGCCUGACAACCCUUCAGGGAAGAAAAUUGUUCCUAAUAUCCAAUCUAAACCUCUCCUGGCACAACCUGGGGCUGUUUCCUCUUGUCCUUUCAUCUCAGCUUUCUCCUUGGACAUACCCUGAUCCUUUUUGCCUUCUCCAGGUUUUGCUCUAACCUGUGCUCUGUCUCACUGCAAAUACCCCAGACCAUUCUUGAGCCUUUUUUCUUGUUGCUGGUUUGUUUUCUUUUUUCUUUUUUCUUUUUUUUUUCUUCCUCCUAGUACAGUAGCCUCCCCUCAAGUGGCCAAGGUUGUGAGUCCUGCCAAGGAAGUGGGAGAACACAGAGCCUUCUGUCUGCGGAGUGCUCGUCUUGGCCAAGGCACAAAUGGUGUAAGACUUGAAGUGUGCAUCCUGCUGCAGUGGGAAGUUGAUGUCUGGAGUGUUCUGAAUCCAGAGGGCAUGGCAUGUGUUGCUAUGUGCCCUUCCCAUGUUGUUACCGCAUGUACACGUGGGGCUCUUGGGUGCCCUGAGAACAAGGACUGAAGUUCCCAGGAUUUUAGAAUGUUAGUCACAGUAUUAACCAACUUUUUAGACUGUAUGUGCUGUGCUGUCUGGGAUGGAAAGGCAGCAGCAUUUCAGGUAAGCUCAAGUGGUAACUUAAGAAUAGGAACCUCUGUUAAAUAUCACUGUUGAUUUAAUUAAGCCAUUCUUCCUUUUUCUUCAAUUGCAGCUAAAAUACCAGUGUCAGGUUUGCUGUCCGUUUGCUAAACAAUUCUGUUGAUUCCAAAGAUAAAAUACCCAAACUGGUGCAGUAACUCUGGACACGGUGAUGGAGGAAGCCGGGCAGGGGUCCUGCAGCCACUGCGGGGGUCCUGCCAGCCUGGAUGUGGUUUAGGUGCCGGCAGGCUCUGCCUCCGAGGACUCCUGCCUUGCCUCAGUUUCUCCCACCCUCCUGUUCCCUCUGGAGGCAGCGCCUGGGGAGGGCCUGGCCCCUCAGCAAGUCCCAGGCAACCUUGAGAUGAGGCAGCCUCUUCCUUUUAAUGAACAUCUGAACAGAAAGCAUCGCUUUAGCAGCUGUUAUGUAUUAAUAAUGUGAUAAUGAAAAUAAA